ensembl:lncRNA
CCUGGACUUGUGGAAGCUCCGGAGACAAUUCCAUGAGUCAUGGAUGUUGAGACCCAGUUUGGACACAGUCACCCCUGGUGGCUCCCGUGGAGGAGCUGGGAGGGUGACAGGGGACACUGUGUAUCUGUCCGGGUUCUGCCCACUGCCGUGUGCCCAGGCUCGGGGACAGUGCCCUGCCAGGGAAGGACACUUCGUGCUUUAUAUCUGGAUGUCCUCCAAAGCCUCAUGAGGGCAAAGCAAGUGACUUUGGUGAAGUGAGUAGGUCCGGGGCUCUCAGCUGACUGCCAUGAGGUGGGGCCAGGGCAGGAGACCUGGGUCACUGGGGCGUGGCCUCCAGGGCCCAUCUCCCUCCCCGCUCCUCCCUUGAUCUCGCUCACUUCCCGUCCAGCAUGCUGUGAACACCUUUCUUCCUUCCGCCAGGCCUCUCUGCCAUGUUGUCCUGCCCUGGAGCCAACUGUGGACUCCAACGAUUCUACACAUUGGAGAAAACAUGCAAUAUUUGUCUUUCUGAGUCUGCCGAACCCGAGCCAUUUGGCUGAACAUGAUGAAGAAUCCCAUGCAUUUCCCUGCACCUGACAUGAUUUCAUUCUUAUUUUGGGCCUAGUUGUGGUCAUUCUUACCUGCAUUUCCUUCAUUGUGGAAUCAGUUUUCCCCCUUGAACAGUUCCUAACUGGGGACUGUGCCUUGCAGGGUCAGUGUGUGUUUGAUGUACCCGUAUAUCCCUUUUCCACAGCCCUCCCACCUCCUCGCCUCUACUCCCCUGUCCCAGUUAAAUCCCUGAUGCUGGGUGUCGAACUCCACUGGCCAUGUCCUGGCUUUGUCUGCCUCCUCCAGAGUCUGCAUUCUGUUUCAUUUGAGUUGGAAACCAAUCAUCCACGUGCUCUGUUUUCCAUAGUCGCCAUCUGCUGCGUCCAUUGAUCUUUCUCCACUUGCAUUUCCUCCUGUUCUUAACCUUUCCAUAAGGUUCAUUUUCUGAUUCUUCAGAGUGCUUGUAACUCUACGUAGUAUUUAUGCAGCUCUUUCUGCAUGUUUAGCUCCAGUGACCACUAAGCAUUCGUUAAAUGAGUAAAUCAUUCUCUCUAUAUUUUCACCUCUAUUUUCCUUUGCUAUUUUUCCUGCCUCUGUGCUCGGAUUUCAGUAAGCUCAAGUCAGCACAAAGAAGAACUUGCCC